AUUGAACGCUGGCGGCAGGCCUAACACAUGCAAGUCGAACGAGUGGCGGACGGGAGUGUAAUGUCUGGACAACUGCCUGUUGGAGGGGGAUAACUACUGGAACCGGUAGCUAAUACCGCAUAGCUUCAGAUUGGGCUAGACGGGAUUUGCUUUUUGGGGGGGUAACGGCUCACCAAGGCGACGAUCCCUAGCUGGUCUGAGAGGAUGACCGUCCAAACUGGAACUGAGACACGGUCCAGACCCCAACGGGGGGCAGCAGUGGGGAAUUUUGCACAAUGGGCGAAAGCCUGAUGCAGCCAUGCCGCGUGUAUGAAGAAGGCCUUCGGGUUGUAAAGUCCUUUCAGCGGGGAGGCGUUAACCGCAGAAGAAGCACCGGCUAACUCCGUGCCAGCAGCCGCGGUAAUAC
rnacentral:rRNA from 1 species